CUGAGGUCACCAGGGCUGAGGUUGCUGUCAUAGUAUAAAAAGAGACAUACUGCAACUGUGAGAUUAACAAGAGCCAUAGGACCCACUUAAGCAUCUCACAGGCCGGACACCAGGUGUCACUUAGCAGUUGAUACAGCCUGGCCCCAGGAUUUCCAACCCUGGCCAGGGGAUUUCCAGAAAACAAGACCACCUCAGCACAGAUGCAACUUUCAUAAACCUUGAAACAAAGCUUCCCCUUACAAGAAUAGCUUAAACUUCUUUUUUGAAAGAAACACCUGGCGACUAACCUAGACUGAACCCAGGUCUAGGGAAGGGAGAAGGAUCCCCCAAACUCUGAGGAUGGUCUCUACACAGAGACCCUCCUGGUCAGCUGGUCCUCUGACCUCCUAAGUGUAUCUGGCCCGUGUCAUUGAUGUCUGUCUCGUAACAGCACAGCCAAAAUAAAUCACUUGAGGCCGGGCACCAUGGUUCAUGCUUGUAACUCAGAACUUUGGGAGGCCAAGGGAGGAAGAUGGGUUAAGGCCAGGAGUUCAAGACCAGCCUGGGCAACACAGCAAGAUCCCAUCUUUUUUUUUUUUAAGAAAAGGAUAAACCGUUUGAGCAUCAGGCAGUGUCUAAGACUCAUCUUUGACACGAAUCAAACCAAAGGAGAGAAAUCGCUCGUGGGGAAGCUGGUCACCUAGGACCACCCGAACACAACAGCUGCUUAUGAUUUGGGCAGUAGGGAGCCAUGGAAGGAUUUAAAGAAACUCAGAAGACCUGGCAACAGAGGCUGGAAAUUUCUCAAAGCAACCAUCACCGAGGAUUGGCUGUCCCUUAGACAGGGGCACGCACUCUCCUGUUCACCACAGCCCCACCCUUGUCUAUUGGCUCCCAGAACCACAGGCUAAGUAGUUCUUGUUGGCGAUCAUGGCACUUGUAAUGAUUCUUUGUCCCAUAUCUCUAUCAGAUGCUGAGAAACAGAGUAGUCUCAGAGAGUCAGAGCCACGUGUUUAGGUAAAAUAGGAGAGCAUGUAUGUUUGCAGAGGCCAAGACAAUUCCUUUACCUUUGCCACACACAAUGAGUCUGCAUCAAAGGCCUAGCCCAGGCCAGACCUUCUUCUCUCAUUCACGUGACCUACUGGUGUCCCCUGGUCUAGAAAGAGAAGAGAAGACACACGGGGAAGAGAAAGAGAUCAAAGAAAGAGGAUGAUGUGGGAAAUUGCCAGGGAAGAGACUCUCAGAGAUGUCCAAGACUGCCUGGAAGUCAAAUUGGGUAAGGUAGGAUCUGUCCCAGGCAAGUGCACACAAGGCCACACCUGCAUCCACACACAAAGAAGAAUUGCACACACAUGCACACAAACACGCAUGUGCACACGCAUGCACCAGGACAUCUCUAGGCCCUCUUACACUCAUGUGUACACACAGAGGCACAUGUGUGUACACACAGAGAGCAGACCCAAUAAAGGGUAUGCACACGCAUAGGCAGGCAAACUCCCACAUGUAGGUGCACGGUCACAUACGCUCAGGCACAAAGACAUACGUGUCUGCACAGACACGGGCAUACCCCUGUGCACAAAGCCACCCGAGCCUGUGCCCUCCCAGGGAACUGCGAUCCCACCUCACAAAGCUCUGCCAGUUCUAAACCAGCAACUUGUAACUAAAUAAAUAUGAUAAACAACUCCCCUCCAGAUGGCUCCGCACACACCCCCACUCCUCUUGCUUAGAGGGAUGGCACAUUCUAUGCCAAUAAAUCCUCCUGUUUGAAAACAUUUGCCUUCUUAAUUGGCCCGUUUAUGGGUAAAAUAUGUUUCUGGGUAGUGCUCUGCCAGAAUGGGAUGCAGAGAUGCAGGGCUGGCGGUGUGUGCUGCCGCCCUGCCCUGGAGGGGUCCGGCUUGGCCCACCCCCAGAGACAAGGCCCAAAGCUGGGGGGAAGGGGUCUCAGCAUGGCCAGGGCAAGCUCUUCCGUGAUCUUUUCCUCCCUGUGCCUCCAUGUCUCUUUCUUAGGGUUCACAUUUGUUGAGCUUACUGUAUGCGGCACUCUCCAAGGUCCUUAGAGGAAUCCGCUGGCCCUCACUUGCCUUUCUCUGGUAGGGAGCCUGUGAGGUGAGGCUGACUGUCAUAGCUCCCAAAGAUAUGUCAACAUCCAAAUCCCUGGAAGCUGUGAAUAUGACCUUAUUUAGGAAAAGAGUCUUUGCAGAUAUAAUUAAGUUAGGGAUCUUAAGAUGGUAUCAUCCUGGAUUACCCUAGUGGGCCCUAAAUCCAAUGGCAAAUGUCCUUAUAAGAGGCAGGAGAAGACACACAGAGGAGACCUGAAGACAGAGCAGAGAUCAGAGGCCACAAGCCCAGAAAGGCCAGGGAUCGCUGCAUCUUUUCCAGAGAAGGCAGGGCAGGGCUCUCCCCCGGAGCGUCUGCAGGAGCGUGGCCCUUCUGACACCUUGAUACGAGACUGCUUGUGAGCGAAUGUGUGUCUUGUUUUCAGCCACUGAGUUCAUGGUCAUUUGUCACAGCAACCCCAGGAGACUGAUCCACCCCCUCGCGUAUGGGAGGUGCCCUGACCGCACACAGCCAGGCUCAAAUCCAUCCUCUGCUGCCUCACGGGCUCUGCAGGAGACCCAUGCUGGAGGUGGGGAAACUGAGGUCCAGAGAGGGUCUAGGCACCAGCCGGUGGCCAGGCAAGGACUAGAACGCAGCACCUUGGCCCUCCUCAUGCGGCACCCACCCUUGGAGUUUUUACAUCAGGAGCAGGGAG
rnacentral:lncRNA from 1 species